UCAGCGCACCCAAAGCUGAUAUUCUACUUAAACUACUUCUUG
rnacentral:tRNA from 1 species